UACGCACGCUGGCGGCGUGCUUAACACAUGCAAGUCGAACGAUGAAGCCUAGCUUGCUAGGUGGAUUAGUGGCGAACGGGUGAGUAAUACGUGAGUGACCUACCUUUGACUCUGGGAUAAGCCUGGGAAACUGGGUCUAAUACCGGAUACGACCAAUCUCCGCAUGGGGUGUUGGUGGAAAGCGUUAUGGAGUGGUUUUAGAUGGGCUCACGGCCUAUCAGCUUGUUGGUGAGGUAAUGGCUUACCAAGGCGACGACGGGUAGCCGGCCUGAGAGGGUGACCGGCCACACUGGGACUGAGACACGGCCCAGACUCCUACGGGAGGCAGCAGUGGGGAAUAUUGCACAAUGGGCGCAAGCCUGAUGCAGCGACGCCGCGUGAGGGAUGACGGCCUUCGGGUUGUAAACCUCUGUUAGCAUCGAAGAAGCGAAAGUGACGGUAGGUGCAGAGAAAGCGCCGGCUAACUACGUG
rnacentral:rRNA from 1 species